GGGGGUUUGUUGAGGUGGCUUAGUUGUAGCGACGAGUUUUGCGAUGGUGACAGAGAGGACAGGUUCUUGAUUGAGGGGCAUCCGCUGACCCCCGAGGGGGCUGGAGACCCUGAAGUUAGAAUGGAGGAGGCCGAUGAGGAGGUGUCCUAUUUUGAGAAAGUCCCUAAACGUGGCAACGAGGUGAUGAUAAGAAGUGACGAGAUUAAAAAGGAUGCGCAAGACAGGGAAAGGAAAGAGGACGCGUGUGAUUACAAGCAAGAGGGCAUGACCGUCGAACAAGAAGAAGCUGUUCUCCCUCCGUGCUGUGAGAACAGGCUUGAAGGUCCUGGUGGAGAUGGACCAGUGAGGGAGUUUCCAGAAAUAUCGGUGCAAAAUCUGCAGGAUCUUAUUGCUGAAGUUGAUAGUGAGAAACUUGGAGAGAAAAUGAAUAUUUUCUCAGGGGAGGAGCACCAAGAUGCAGGUGAGAGCUUUGCAGAUUAUCCCUCAGACUUUUCCUCAUGUGAAUAUGUAGAAGAGGGAGGUAAAAACCAAGAUAUGAAGCGCCAGUCAGAAGCAUUGGCUUGUGCAUCCGGCAGCAGUUCAAUUGUUCAGCAGAACACCUUCCUGGAAGAAUCAGAUGGGAUGCAGAUGGGAGGAGCGGAGGACUCUGAUGAGGAGGGGGACAGGAACCGGCACAGCAGAUAUUUAGAACAGGAAGCCAAUGAGCUCAGCAGCGUGGACGUGGCUAAUGGAGAGAAACGCAUGGUGGAGAACGUGUCUGGCAACGCAUUUGCAACGGGGCUUGAUGAUGGCAGUGCGACAAGUGACAGUGAAUCCUUCACCUCCAGUGACGAUGAGGUGCAAGAAAAAAGGAGCGACGAAGAACUCUUUGGUAGUACGCAUCUACAAGAUCAACUGGAGGAGACUCGCGGUGGCAGCAGAGCAUCAUUUUCUGAUUGCUACGACAGAAUGGAUCCGGCAGAUUUCAACAAUCACUUUAACCCAGAGCUGUUAACAGCUGACCCUCUUUUGUCUGAAGACAUGUUAACCACAGAGGACGCAGACACGCCGCUUUCAGACGCGACUCUGCGUCCUGCAGAAGACGCCAACAGCUACUCGGUGGUACAGGAAGGGGAUGCAAAAACAAGCAAGUCCUCUCACCAGGGAUCGCUGGACGAUAACUUCGUCUUCAACACGGAACCUGAAGCUUGUGGAAGCUUCGCUGAGACAGGACAGCUGGGAGACGACGAGUGCGAAGAGGAGAGCGACUGGCAACAAGAGCAGCAGAGAAUCAAGUCGUUCUACGAGUUUUAUGAUGACAGCGAUGUAGAGAAUGAAAGAGGGGGAAGACUGGUAAAAGUUCAGUUUUGUGCAGAUCCAUUAUCGCAAGUCAUUCACUAUGAAACUGACAGGUGAGUAGGAUUUAGUUUGUGUUACUUUUUCUUUCUUGGAUAAAAGCUACAACUUGAGCUAUGACCGAUCUAAACACAACACAACUGGGUGUGCGUCCUUGUUUUACAGCAGUGACAGAGCUUCACUCAGCAGCUCCAUAGAUGGGGAGGAGGACCUGAACUCUGCAGACACGUCUGAGGUUUGCACCUGGACACAUGAGCACAUUCACACAAAACUGGGUUUCUUAGAGACUUAGAGUCUCCAGAGAACGUACCAAUCAGAUAUCAUCAACACUCAUAUUUGUACAAGCAAACACAAAGUGUGUCUUCACAGGCUUUUAUUGGACUUUCACGUUGUUCCUUAGUUCCUGAAUUGUUUGGUUCAUUUUGCCUGUCUGUCCUUUGUUCCCGCAGUGCUCCAACAUGCUGAAGCCGACACUGAAGAUUGGUCUCGCGAUACUGACUGGACUGCUCAUGUUCUGGUUUGUCACAGACCGAGUGGGCUGCUUUGACCAUGUGUUUUUCUUUUAAGGUUAAAAACCUUAAACCUAAUUUGGGGGUCAUAGAAAUAUGUUUAUCUGCUUACGGCUGAUCAACGAAAGAUCCAAAAUGAUGUAAUGUCUUAAAUACGUGCUGAACUUUGAAAUGACGGUUUUCUUGUGUAUGUUACUAAAUAUGUUUUUAAUAAAGAUAUAUAUUUUUCUUUACAAUGAUGCUGAUGUUUUGUGGACUGUAGAUAAGUCAUAUUCUACCUUUAUUUGGAUGUAACAUUUUGAUUAUAUGAGUGCUAAAUGGGCCUUAAUCUGACAUAACUUACAUUUACCAAAGUACUUUACAGGGUUGAGAUACUUCUCCUUCUAUUAGAGGAGCUGUGUAACUCUUGACAUGUUAUGCCCUUUGCAAGGACAGAUAUAUUUACUUGCUUUGCAUAUACAAGUUUUUACAUACGAAAUUGAAAAAUAAAGAUACACUGCUUCCAUUUAUAAGACGACACGUAAACG
ensembl:lncRNA